rnacentral:lncRNA from 7 species
CAACCCCUCCCCUACGCUCGGGAUCUCCAGCUAACUUAGAUGUGUGCCAUCUUUGCCGAUAAAAGGGACGGCACCCCCUCGACCACGCGCACCAGCACCUCAAAUUGGGAUAUUCACCACCGAGAGAGAGAACAUGGAGCCGCCGGAAGCCUCCACUGUCGUCCGGCGUGCACUGCACUAAUUGGUGCCCUAUGCGCGAUCGGGAGAAUCUGUCCAAGCUCUAGGAUCAUGUUGAAGGUGGUGGCUAGGAGGGAGUGCGACCUGGGCGCCGCCAAUUUGACGUCGUGGCCGCAAAUACGGGGUGCGCCGUGGGCAGGGAAAGGCACUGCGUGAUCACUCGGAAAUAACUAACGGAGAAAACC